rnacentral:misc_RNA from 1 species
GAUGAAAACGUAGCGAAAUGCGAUACGUAAUGUGAAUUGCAGAAUUCAGUGAAUCAUCGAGUCUUUGAACGCACAUUGCGCCCCCUGGUAUUCCGGGGGGCAUGCCUGUCCGAGCGUCAUUGCUGCCCUCAAGCCCGGCUUGUGUGUUGGGUCUCGUCCCCCUUCCCGGGGGGACGGGCCCGAAAGGCAGCGGCGGCACCGCGUCCGGUCCUCGAGCGUAUGGGGCUUUGUCACCCGCUCUGUAGGCCCGGCCGGCGCUUGCCGAUCAACCAAAACUUUUUUCCAGGUUGACCUCGGAUCAGGUAGGGAUACCCGCUGAACUUAAGCAUAUCAAUAAGCGGAGGA